rnacentral:misc_RNA from 1 species
AAUUAUCAACCUUCCAGCUUUUAUUAGCUUGGUUAGGCUUGGAUGUGGGGGUUGCAGGCUUCAUUGAUGAGGUCAGCUCUCCUUAAAUGCAUUAGCGGAACUUUUGUGGACUGUCUAUUUGGUGUGAUAAUUAUCUACGCCUUGGAUGUCUGCAAUGGGUUUGCGCUGCUUCUAACUGUCUAUUCGUUUGGACAAUACAUGACA